UUCUGUACACACGCAAACACACACACACUGCAGACAGGCAGAGAGAUAAGUUGGGAGCUGGAAGUUUGAAGAAAACUUUACUGUACUUUGGAUGCACUGUUACACCUGCCCAGGAUAAACCAAAUUUUUUUUUUUUUUAGAGCCUCAGUAAUGCUACUGUGGACCACGUGGUCACAGGUCUCCAGCAAUCCCUCAUUUGGAUGCUCCAUAGAUGAAUGAAUUACCUUUGUCCUUUGCUUUGUGGACUCCAUAUCAAUAAUGUUGGGCCACUUGAGCAUCUUGAGCGAGAGAUAGAGAGCAGAGGUGACACCAGUGCUGAGGUGAGUUUUACACAAAUCUUGCAUGUCAGCCGUUCACAUGAAAACAAAGACACACGCUUAACCUCCCUUCAAAGCGUUGCUCUUACUGUUGCUCAUUCAUGCCCAGCGGAUGACACACACAGCAUGCAAACCUGCAACAAUUCAAUAAACUUAUGCACAGCUUUUCUCAUCCACACGCUGUGACUAAACCUCGCUUUCGUCUCAUAUUCACAGCACACUGCUCCUCUACACUGUCAGUUAACCCUGCAAUUAACCUGCACCUCAGCCAAACAUCAUUAGGGAGAGAGAGACGAGAGACCAGGACUGAGAAAGAUGAGAAAUAGAUUACUGGAGAGAGAGAAAUAGUGACACGGAUAUAUGGGAGAUUUUACCAUUAAAAAGCCACAAAUCACCAAAGUAAGUUUUUAAAAUUUUUUUUUGUGUUUUUCUCUACCCAACGCAGAUCCUUUUUCCGUUGUCCUGGAUGCAUCACAUUAUAUAUAUAUCCUUUUAAAAAAUGGAGUAUGCAGGAUAAAGCUACACUAACCAUAUAGCAUCACCCCAUGACCUCUCCCAUCCCCCCACACUUUUUUUGUACUCAUUUUUUUUUUGCGGGGGGUAGGCCCCAGUAGAGAGGUUUGGGCGUUGGAGCAUCAGAGAGGUUUUGCAUACAGCUGUAUUCAAGUCAGAGGCGAUUCUGCUGACAAACUGAUGGAGGACUGUUUUGGACAAAAAAUAUGGUCAAACCCAACAGUUUAGAUAAUGUAAUACACGGCAUCGUCUAAAUAACCUGCAUGUUGGAACUGAUUUAACACAGAAAAUCAGAAGGUUGGUCUUUUAGCGAAAUGGUGGAAGUUAAACCCUAAAACGGUGAGGGUGCUGACCUUUAAAGAUCUCUGUUGCGUGUUGUCGGAGCUGCUUCCAUGGAAUAUGAGGAUGUGCAAAAAAUGUAAUCGAUUUAUCCCAAAACGCUUUUAUUCUGGAAUUGUACCGAAGGGUAAUCAGGGGUACUGAACACUCAAACAGUGCCAAAUACUCCGGUUAUUUUAAGAUUUAUUGCAGAAACGCACUGCCUGUUUGGUUUGCUUGAAAUAUUAUUUAUAGAUAUUACAUUUUCAAACAAACUACUAAAUAAGCCUCUUUUUUGAAUAAAUGUUGCUAUAAAUCCCAUAAACUUUACCUAAUUUCAUAUCCUAAAUAACCUCGAUGAUAAUAAUGCAGCUGCAGAUAAGGUUGAUGAGGUCGUAUACUGAGGUUAUGGUUCAGCCAUUGUUUUCCUCCCCGUUGAUGCGGUCCUUAUGCUGGUACAGUGCGGUGCACAUUGUGUCUAGUGGGCAUUGUGGAGUAUCUGGGGGAACUGUUUAGUCCCCCAUAAGAAGAUUAGAGAUGAUUGGUUUUAUUGACCGGCCUAUGCUGCGGUUAUCAGGGCGACUCUCAGAGCACGGAGCCACGCUUUUGUCUGGCCCUUAUUGUUCUUCCCAGCCCAAGACCCUGCACUGAUAUGAAUUUGAUAUGACAGUAAAGUGCCAAUUAUGUACAUACAUACAAGGCUCCGCUCCUUUUCGGCUCUACGUGGAGUGAAAAGACAGCGAGGUGAGGAAGAGAAGGGAGGAGAGAUAAGGUGAGGGAAUAUCUUGAAGGGUUAGCGGGCAAGUCUUGAGGAUAAUUUGCUGCGAGAAUCCGGAGUCUGUUAUUUUCUCGAUUCCCAUAUUGUCAAUAAAACGGUGACAUUGAAACAUUGAUGAGCGAUAAAGAGGCUGCAUCUGUGUGUGUGUGUGUGUGUGUGUGUGUGUGUGUGUGUGUGUGUGUGUGUGUGUGUGUGUGUGUGUGUGUGUGUGUGUGUGUGUGUGUGUGUGUGUGUGUGUGUGUGUGUGUGUGUGUGUGUGUGUGUGUGUGUGUGUGUGUGUCUGUGUGUGUCUGUGUGUGUCUGUGUGUGUGUGUGUGUGUGUGUGUGUGUCUGUCUGUAUUUUUUUUCUGACCAGCAGGCCUGUCAUAUCUUAUCACCAUCAGCUGCAUCUGUGAUGAACUGAUUAUUGUGAUCAGUUGAAAGGUUACAAAGACGACUAUUGCAGCGGUUUCAUAUUAAGGCACUCAGAGGAGAGGAUUUUAUUUUCUUUGAUUCACCUGUUAGAUUUACUGAUUAUUUAUUGCACCUCAGUUAUUGCAGUCAUCCAUUUGACAAUGGGUACAUAAACCCAUCUCAGAUUUGUCUUAACAUAAAUAUAAAUUAGAUACAUUUCACCUAACAUGCAUUAUACUGAACUGAAAGCAUCAUGACAUAAACAGCAGCUUGCACUUGUAUGCGAGUGUGUGUAUGUUUACAUGUGUAUUUGUGUACUCGAAUUGGUCUGCCAUUUGAAAUCAAAGUUGGAAACGGUGUGUAAGUCCAUUUCUAAUUCCCUUUUAUUCCCCCUCUUCCUUUUCUCCCUCUUUUAUGUACUUGUCUUGGAAAAAAGGUGUUAAAUCAUCUAAAUCAUUCCCUGGCUAUUAUAUCCAAUUAAUGCCUCCUCAUGGUGUUUUAUUGUGUUAUAAACUGCUAUUGCUUGUGGUUCAGUAGACAAACACAAUGUGUGUCUGUGCCGCCUGCCACCGGGGCUGGCUGUGGCUGUGCUGGGGAGGGACAGAGGGGGACUUGGCCACUGCCCAUGGGGGCCCUGGCCACUCUAAAUCAGUUAGUUUUGGAGGAGAUCCUAGUCGGCUUUUUAAGAGGGUCCAUUAUAGGCUUGUUAAUGCCUCAGCCGAGGGGGAAACACUACUAACUGCACUCAAUUCUCUAUGCACUCAGUCUCCUUCUCACUCACUCGCCCAAACACAUACACCUACGAACACACACACACACACACACACACACACACACACACACACACACACACACACACACACACACACACACACACACACACACACGCCUUCUUCUCCCUACUUGCUUCUCCUUCGCUGUGUGUUUCUCCUGAGAUGUGUGAGUGACUGUGUGUUGUCUUCUCUCUACAUCCACUGUGUUUUCCAUUCACAUGACACACCCAUCUCUGCCUCUGUCUCCUGUUCAUGAAUUUCAUGGAUUUGGCCUUCACUGAAAGCAGCACGAUAUCACAAAGUCUACCCAUUUCCGCCAUUGAUGCUUCCAGUGUGCUGCGAGUCUGAAUGUGCUCUUUUUUAUCCAUGCAUGUGUGCAGCUAUGACCAUCCAUGUGCGAGUGUGUGUGUGCAGUGUGUAAAAUGUGUUAAGCAGAUUGAGUGGUUUCUUUGAAGAUGUAUUUUGGAGCCUAGAGGGGGAUUCUGGAGUGUGUUAUUGCAUAUUUAGGACAGUGUGUGAGGGUCUUUUGAGAGAGUAUGUGUGUGUGAAAUUUUAAUUCACACUAUAAGUGUGAAGCGGCUUAGUUCAUUUAUCACUGAGAGGAGAUACCCAGAGAGCUGUUUCAACUCCCCAUAGGUUCUCUGUCACACCAAGCUCUGGAGGAGCCUAACUAGCCGCAAAACCCAAAACUACUAAGUUCAUCAAGGAACAACUGCCUGUUGGUAAUUCCAGUUCCCACUAUUAUUCUGCAGCAUUUUCCUGCUGCUUUAUGUCAAAUUCUGUACAUUUCUUCUCGGGCAAAAUGGUCACGGUUGCUUUGUUCUGCUCAUGGUGGAGCUAUAGGCACCAAUAUUGCCACACCUGAGGUGCAAGCUAAUGUCCACCAUCUCCGCAUUCUGAACUGUCGUCAAGGAAAGGUGCCUCUCGGUCGCCCUGGAAACCAUUCCUCCCAGCAUGCUUUGUGUGAGUGACAGGAGGAAGGUGUAACAGAGUAAGAGCUUUGUGUGAAUGGACGUCUUGUGAGCUGGACAAGCAACUAAAUCCUUUUCUAUUCACCCACAUCACCUAAAUGUUACUGCUUCCUUCGCAUGUUUUCACUUUCUGAAAACAAUAUUAUCGUUAUUAUUAACUGUAGUUUAUGCUGUCUGAUCUGCAGAGUCACUCUGUCCAAAGCAAAUGGAAAGACUUAAAGAAACUGCAAUUAUCUUGUUCUUCUCAUGUUCAAAUUCUUAUUCUCGGGGAUAAGAAGUGCAAAUUUUCUACGACAAUAGCUUCAACAUAAUUUUGCUGUUGAGGGGAAUGAGCAGGAUAAGUGGCUGCCAUGAUUGGUUACAGCAGUGGCAGCCUGUGUUCAUCUCACUCCCCUCUGUGCUCGCUCAGGCGAGACACUCCGAGUGUGUGUCCUCCUUGGAGAAGACAUGCGUGUCCCUGCGUUUGUGUCCAGAGCACGCAAGUCUAUUUUCUCCUCUGAAUAAGUGCAAUCCGAAGGUCGCAUUGGAUCAGAUUGUCUCUGUAUAUUGUUGUAUGUAAGUGUUUAUGUUGCGUGCAUUGUGUGUGGAUUGUUGAUCCAAGUAUGCAAGGCGAGGUUAAGAACACAGCUUGCACAAAAUACAUGCGUGUAUGCAAGUGUGUUGGAGUCUCUGCACUGACAUCCAUACAAUCAACUCCUUUCAGAUCUUUUUGUGUGUGUGUGCAUGUGUGUGUGUGUGUGUGUGGAUAUGUGUGUGUCUGUCUGUGCAGGGUUCAGUCUCAGAAGCCUGAUAAAGUCUGAAACCAAUAACUGAUAAAGUAUCACACAGGAGGCUGUGCUGUCCAGAGAGGACCUGGAAACAGACCUUUUCCUGAACACUGACCAGAUAAGCAAAAUCUGAAAUAACUGACUCCAGGGAGCACCUGUCAGGUCUUACUGAUACAUAGCUUAACUCUCAGUGCAGUUUCAGUUUUUGCGGGGCUUUGCACAUCCUUGUUUUGAUUUUUUUUUUUUUAUCAGUAAAAGCAAUUCUAGCACAAAUAUGUUGCACAUUUCGUGCAAACACGCAACUCAAGGUAGAAUAUUUCUUACUACAUUCAUCAGUGACGACACUGUGACACUAACAGUAUGUAAAUAAACAGCAUCCGCAAAAAUCCACAAGUAAUGAUACUAUUUGCUGCAGGUCUCUCUUGAUUACAUCAAUAUAAUCUGACCUGUAUCCCUCCAUCCUCCCACUGUCACCGAAAACAUGCCCUUCUAAUCUCCCAUAGCUGUUGAUGGGGUGACUGGAAACUUUAACAGUAAACAGACUUCAGCUUCUCACCCUCCCAAAGCCACGUUUGAGAAAGUUUUUAACACGCUCCAUUAAUCACAAAUCCCCCAAUCCCUGCAUCCACACAUUUUCUCACCCCAUUAUCAUUAUCACCAUCUUAUCAUCACUUUGUCAUUAGCUGCAUCUAACUGUGAUGGUGCCUGUGUUGCUGUCUUUACUCCAGUCUGCGCUCUGCCUUUAAAUAUUUCCUAUUAGGGUUGUGAUUAUAGUGGCGGCUGCAUUAGGUGUGAUGUUGCCAUCUCAAACAUACAUUUCAUGACACACAUUGGAUGCUUUGUCAGUUGUUGAUCUGAUGGAAAGAAUAAUCUUUGAACAAACAUGACUCUAUAUCCCUGAACAGACCCCAAGCUAUUUUUGUAUUCCUUUGAUCUUCGCCUUUUCUCCUAAUUUUGGUUUAAACCUGUUCAUCUAACCAGCCAGGGUUUUUCUCAUUGAGCCUGUUCCUGUCUUUCUGACCUCUUACUUAUUUUUUCCUUUCGUCCAUUUUUAGUGUCCUCGUGCAUUCUGUUUUUUUCUUGCCCAUUAGCCUACUUUAUCCUCCUCUCCUCUCCUCUCCUCUCCUCUCCUCUCCUCUCCUCUCCUCUCCUCUCCUCUCCUCUCCUCUCCUCUCCUCUCCUCUCCUCUCCUCUCCUCUCCUCUCCUCUCCUCUCCUCUCCUCUCCUCUCCUCUCCUCUCUAUCCUGCAUGCCUCAGCAGCCUCUCCUUCCUGUCUGUCUGUGUUGGCAUGAGCCUCCCUGGCUCUGCCCCCGCCUGCCGCACUUUAUGCUGAUUGGACCAGCUGUUCCACUUAAAUUCACCAUGGCAACCACAACCUGUCGCCUAGCAACCCUGCUCUUCUCCCUGAUUCCUGCCAGUGUUCUCCACAGGCAGAGGGAGAGAGAAAGGGAGAAGAAGAGAUUGAAAAUUCCCUCAGAUUUUUUUUUUUGGUUUUUUUGGUGCAUGUGUGUGUACGUGCGCAUAUGUUUGUGUGUGUUACACAUGGCUAUGUUUGGCUCCUCUUCUGUGAGUCAGAAGGAAAUGUGUAGAGUGUGCUGAUGAGAUGGUUAAAUGCAGCCUGUGUUUGCAUGUAGGCCAGAGGGACCUUCAGAUAACUCAGAGUACGCUGGCAGGCAUAGAUGUAUGCGCCAAAUUAAGGUUUGCGUGUGUGUGUUUGUGUGUGUCUUCUUGUCUCCCGUUGACUGGACUUGUUCUCUCAGGCGUGAUGAGAGCAAGGGUACAUGCAAGCUCAUGCUAAAGAAUUCAUGGCACUGCUGCUCUCAGAGGCCCCACUGUCAGAGUAGCCUCAUGGCCCAAGCAUACUAAUCAGAAAUACUGGAUAGAUGGACCCACACACAUACACACACAUACACACACACGCACGCACACACACACACAUACACUCACCCUUAAACACCAAAAUGGCCUGAGUAGGCACUCUGUUUCAGGAUGUUGUUAUCCACCUAUAUUGCCCAGGGAAGAUUACCCACCUGCUAAUAGACUUUUCCUGCAGCCUGGGAACCAGUCCCAUGCCCAGGUAAUCCCACAGCUCAUCCGUAGCAUGUGAACUCUUGUCCAGGGGAGAACACCGGGCGAGAGCAACAAGCUCCCCUUUACCCCUCAUAAUUGGAUCUCAUACGAGUCCAAAGUUGCUAACUGGUUUGUUCUCAACUUCGCUUCUGCAUCGCAUAGAGAUUAAAGACCUCUACUGAGCCACCAGUGAGCUGCUUCUGUACAAGAAAUGUAACAAGUGUUGUUUGCCUUCUGCACAGUCCCAGUGUGUAUUUUUGGUGAGCACAUACACAUAAUUAAUUAUGACUUUAUUUUAAUGUGUGUUCAGCUGCCUAGUCAACUCUGCGGAGAUUUUAGCCCGGCUUGCUAAUUAAUCUGUGCAACUAAAACAUAGGCAAACAUGGAUCGUUCUGAUUUCCAAUUUUCUCUAAACAUAUAAUGUGCUGUCAAUUUCUGUCCCGCAGAAUUAUUAUUGUAUAGACUUAUGGAUCUCAAGGCCUCUGUACAAUGUGCAGUUUUUGCCCGUCUGAGCACUCUGAAAUCUUUAAUCGUCCUAGAUUACAAUAUGAGACAAGUUAACCGGCGGAGGAUUUGGAGCUUGGGUGACCAAAGAUAACCUGUGGCAAAAAUUGGAAAGUGUCAGAAAUUUAAGACCAGAUUCUCACUGUGUGAUUGAUGCUACAUCUAAUGUCCUCAAACUAUUGAUUCAACCAUCCAUUAGCCACACCUGCUUUAUCCUUUUUGUCAGUUUAAGCCUGUACCAGCUGACAUUGAGUGAGAGGUGGGGAACACCCUGGACACUCUGCAGGGCGAACACAAACAGGCGGACAGUCAUAUAUGUUUGCAUCUGACUAUACUAGAAAGCUGAAUUCCACAGGAAGCAUGCAAACUUUAUGCAGAAAGACCACACCCGACCAACAGGUUCGAAUCCAGAACCUUCUUCAGUGUGCUAACUACUGCAAUGCUCUGCCUGCACGCCAACCAAUCAGAAUACUAGGUGAAAGGCCUUGUGAUAUCCCAAGUGAUGCAACGUGAUGUAGUGCCACAGCAAAACAUUUGCAAAAACACAAACCAAAAAGAUGAAGGUGAAAUGAAUAAAAAGUCGUGUCUGACAAAGAAUAAAACCAUGUGGAGCUACAUUUUCAGAACCUCAAAGCAGCACACAUAGAUGACAUGAGCUGAAAUUGUGCCUCUGCUCUCAUGUACCUCUUUCUAUUUACAUUGUACUGCUACAAUUCACCAAGCAUUUGUUGUGCAAUCUGACAUGCCUCAAAUUGAUAUAGCACAGCCUGGCACAGAAUAAGACCAAGAUUUUAUUAGAGUUAUCUCGCAGUGUGACAUGAAAUGUAAUUUCACAAUUCUCCUCGUUGCACAAUCUGAAGGGACUUUUAAGUAGAUUUAAGUGCCUUUGUAAGGUGCAGGGUUGAGAAAAAGCUCCAGAAUUUCCUCAGCACUUCUUAGCAUAUAUCUCUAAAUCUAAAACUCAUUUCAUAACUUCUAUUUUCCCAAAUUUGGUGUUUGAGUGCUGUCUAAUGUGAUUGUAUAAGAUCUCCCUGAGGUGUUCUUUUGUUAAGAUUGUUUGUUUUCCCUCAUUUGUCCAAUUUAUUUGUGUCCUAUGUAUUCUGCCACUGUUAAUAUGUCCAGUUCUCUUUUGGAUAAACUACCAGAUGGAUUACCAUCGAAUUAUGUACAGUCAAUAUACAGUAUCUAUAUAUGCACCACAUCACAAAAGUAAAUGCAGAGUAAAUGUGGUUUGUUCCUAGUUUCUAUCGACCUUUUUGCUGUUGUAGCUCUAGUUCGCCAUCAUUUUCUCAAAUAUUAAGUUAUAAUUUAAAAACAUUACUUGUGAGGUAAAGUGUAACACUGAUCCACUAUAGAGAUUACUGCUGACAUGCAAGAAUGAAGUCCUUCCUCUAGAAGCAGCACCUUGAGGCUCAACUGAAGUUUGCUACUCAUCACUUGGACAAAGAAAAAACCUUCUGGAGCAAAGUUCUGUGGUCAGAAGAAUUGACAAUUAAGCUGUUUGACCACGAUGUCCAGCAAUGUUUGGAGGAGAGAAAGUGAGGCCUUUAACCCCAAGAACAUUAAAGCCACCAUCAAGCAUGGUGAUGGCAGUAUUAUGCUCUGGGACUGUUUUGCUGACAGUAGAAUUGGUGCUUUACACAAAGUAAAUGGAGUAAUGAAGAAGGAGUAUUGACUCCGCAUUCUUCAGGAAAACCUACAAUCGUUCGCCUGAAGGUUGGAUCUUGGACCUAGUUGGAUAUUCCAACCAGUCAAUGACCACAAACACACAUCGCAUAAAAGGUGGAGAAGAAAUGGCUACAUCAGUCUACAAUUAGGUUUUGGACUAGCUGCCCCAAAGCCCUGACCUUAACUCCAACAAGGACAUCUGGACUAUGCUGAGGCCAACAAAUUUGGUUGAAUUGCAUCAAUUCUGUCAAGAGCAGUGGUCAAAGAUACAACCAGAAGCUUGUGGAUGUCUACCAAAAGUAUGUAAGUGGGGUGAAAGUGGCCAAGAGACAAGUAACUAAAUAUUAGGUUUGCUGUAUGUAUAUUUUUUUACCCAGCAGAAUUUGUCAUAUUUCCAGAAGACAUAAAAUUUAUCUGUGCUUGUUUUAUGUGACAAUGACACAUGUAUUUCAGUGAUUCCAUUAUAGAAAAUGAAGAGCUGUAGGAGCCACUGGAACCUCAAGCCUGCCAUGAUGUACAUGGUCUCUACAAGUGGACAUCUGAAGGGAAAGAAGAAAGUGAGGAGAGAGAUGAUAACAUGCAGCAAAAAGCCUGUACGUUUCAACCUCGGUACAUGAUGUGCACACGACCAGGCACUAACCAAGCGGGACAGAUGCAGCAGGGUGUCAGAGGUCAUCUAACCUGCUCAUAUGACCGGUUUGAGGAGCUUCGAAGGACCGCUCUGACCAGCGAGCUCCUCUUGUGUCAGUCAUCCCGGUGCCCUAAAACUGUCCUAAAUGACUUAAUCUACAGGGCGACAGGGCUCCAGAGAGGCUGACUCUUCAACCGUGACCUUCUACAACGAAACAGUUUGCAUAAAUGAGGCAUAAUUAGACAGAGGGAGAUGUGGCAAAGACAAAGCAGAGGUACAAGGAUCAGCUCCAUCAUCAUUAUUCCACCGCAUCCCCCGAGGAGCGAGACAGAGCCGAGGCCGGUGCCGGGGCCGGACCAGGCUGGGGGAGAAAACACUGUAGAACCAGAGCACCAGGACCUGGGAAUGCACACAAGUGAUAUUUGUGCGAGGAGAUCAAAAAACGUUUACCUUUAGAUGUUUCCCUGAUAUGAAUAUUCAACAUCCUUAUUGAAAUCUAAUUUGGGUCUCCUUGUCUCAGGGGUCUUUUCAUCAGUGCCUGUUGCCUGAGGCCACUGCUGAUUGACAGCCAAACUUUAGUAAAGAGCAAGCAGGAAAAAAGGGGAGAUCUGGUGGUGUUGGAGAUGUGAGCGGUGUGAA